rnacentral:lncRNA from 1 species
AUACCCCCACUUACCUAAAAUGAGAUGGACCUAAUCUCUUAAAAAUAACCCAAUGAGCCCCCUCGUAAAAAAAAAACUCCUGGAGUCGCCUCAACAAACCAGCCCCACCCUAUCUCCACCUAUGUCGGCGACCACACACAAAAAGAGUCGCACACCCACCUCUCUUACACCUAAAGCCAGCAGCAGCCAUCCCUCACCAUCGAAACUCUAAUAGACCUGGAAACCAUUACCUUAAAUCUCCUAAGAAGUGAACAACAGCCGUACCACACCUCUAUUUGAAAAAUCUGCCGCCUAAAACCAGCCGGAUACCACCCUUCACUAACUUCUAAAACCUAACACCCCCUCAUCUCCUCCACCCUAAAGCAGUACUCCCAAACCCAGCGACCUUACUUCAGCCGCAACACAUACACAUGCACACGCACAAAUAGGAGACAGGGAAGAAGAAAAUUGGAUAGAGAAACUAAGGUUUGUUCGUUUGUUUUCCGCCGAGGUUUUCGGGCUGAUUUGUGGCUCCGGUUUGUGAUUUUGGUGGUUCGAUCUUAUUGUAUAAUCAAGUUUGGGCUUCUUUAAAUCUUCAAUUUCAAAAGAAAAUUGCUCCAUUGGAGGUCUAUUUCUUCCCAUAAUCUUCAUUUUCUUGUUUGAGCUCACUGCGCCGGUAAGAGUCUUCCCAUCCCAAGGGUAAAAAAAAAUACCCCCAACACCCCUGGACCCCCUCCAAGACCCAGAUCCAGAUCCAGCCCCAGCCGACAACUUCCCGAUGCCGGGGACCAACUCCUUCAAAUAGGUAUCUAGUAGCCUUCUUAUUUUUUGUCUGUUCUUUCUGUAUUAAUGCCGAGAUUUUGUAUAUGUCGGUUUAAAAUAGUACAAAUUUGUAACGAUACGCUGUUUGUGCAAAUUUUAGUUUUGCCGCACUAGUGUGUUCUUUUUGGACUUUUUUCUCUUCUGCUCUAUGUUCAUUACUCCAUUACUCUAUUUUUCUCUGAUUUUUCAAUUGGGAUAUUCUCUUUUACAUUUCUGUUGCUUCUUGAAACUUUGAUUGUCAUAUUUUAUAUCUUCUUUAUGUUUUAACAAUCAUACAAAAUCUUCAAACAUAGUUUAACUAAGAUAUAGACAUUUGAUUAUUGUUACUAUCUGUUUUAUUAUUUGGUUUUGGUUUUGGAUGUUAUUGCUGCUAUCUUAAUAUUUUGCUAUCUCCACUUCUUGGAAUUACCUCUUAUAAAUUGGCAUUAGACGUUAUAUUGUCUUCUUAUUUUGUCUUCUCUUACUUACUUUAUCACUCUAUAUUUUCCUCGUGAUUCGUUACUCUGUUACCUUCCUUUUUCUUGUACAGACCCACUCUAUCGUUUCCUCCUUAUUAUUUUCUUCAAUUUAUUCAUUAUUGAUUGUUUAAAAUUGAUUUAACGUUGUACAUCCUUUUCUUUUGUGCUCCUUUUCUACGGGUAGGGCCUCACCAGUGGUAGCAGUGACAACCCCUCCCUCAUUUGUUUGGAUUGAUGGUGUUUUGUGUGUAUUUCAGGUCAAGGUCGGUGGCUAUUAGCGGCGAACAAGACGUGCGUGUGCAAAAUUUAAAGAACAGCAUGAGCGAGUGUCAACAAGGGACAGUGAGAGUUGGAAGUGAACAUGCUAGGUUGUCCCAACACCGUCAUAUAUACCAAUACAAUUCCCAGGUUCUAAUCGCGGGAGUUGGUACCUCCCAUUUUCCUGUUUCCCUUUGUUGUAUUAGUAAAUUGCUACCAUCAUAGUUCGUAUUAAUCUAUUCACCGUAUUACUGUGGCUGUAGUUGCAACUUGUCUUCUUGUAGUUUGGUCUGUUACCUUGUGUGGGUUAGUGAUUCCCAAUAGUCUGACGUAGGUAUACUGGCUGUGGUCUGGGAUGGUCGAGUGAGAUCAUGACCUCGGGGAGAGCAUGGGGUGUGGCGGGAGGUAGGGCAGGGGUUAUGGGGAGGGUCAUGAGGCAAGGGAGGUAAAGGGGACAAGGGUACCCAUAGGUUGAGAAUUGGGUUAUGGAACAUAGGUACAUUGAUGAGUUAGUCUAUAGAGUUGGCAAAGAUCCUCAAAAAGAUGAGGGUCAAUAUAGCAUGUGUCUAAGAGACAAGGUGGGUAGGUCAAGGGCUAAGGUCGUGGAUGGGUAUAUGCUUUGGUACUCAGGAGUCGAGAAAGGUAAGAAUGGUGUAGGUAUCUUGCUGGAUAGGGGGCUUACAGAGUCUGUGGUUGAGGUUAGACAAGUGAAUCAUAUAUUGAUGAAUAUUAAGAUGGUAGUUAGUGAGUGCACUCUAAACGUCGUUAGUGCUUAAGCGCCGCAUUCGGUCCUGGAUGAGGAGGUUAAACGAUGCUUCUGGGAGGGAUUAGAUGAGAUUGUGCGCCAGGUCCGCAUGCUGAGAAGCUAUUAAUAAGAGGGAAUUUCAAUGGUCAUAUUGUCUUGAACGCAGGUAGUUAUGGCGAGGUGCAUGGAGGCUUCGCUUUCAUGGAGAGGAACGGGGGAGGUACGUCGUUGUUUGACUUCGCUAAGGCUUUUGGGUUAGUGAUUGUGAACUCUACCUUUCUUAAAAGAAAGGAGCAUUGGUCACUUUUCAAAAUAUGGCGUCGAAAACUCAGAUUGACUAUCUUCUUCCGGAAGGUGUGAAAGAGGGAUAUGCAAGGAUUGCAAGAUGAUUUCGGGUGAGAUACUCGUGAUGCAACAUAGGGUCUUGGUGAUGGACAUUGGUAUUGUGUUAAAGAGGAGGAGAAGGUCUGCUCGAGGAAGACCGAGAAUAAGAUGGGGAGUCUUAACUAAGGAUAAAGCCCAAUAGUUGGAAGGGCAAUUAUUAGCUACGGGGCCUGGAUGAGCAGUGGUAACGAGCAGUAUGUGGUCAGUGACAACAAAUUGUAGAAGGGAGGCUGCGAGAGAGGUGUUAGGGGUCUCGACAGGCAUCUAUGGUGGGCACAAAGGAGAUUUGUAGCGGAGUGAAGUGGUCCAAGGUAAAGUGGAGGCGAAAAAGGCGGCAUACCUGAAGUUAGUGGGGAACAUGGUUGAGAAGGAUAGACGAGCAUGCAUAGAGGUAUAAGGUACCUAGGAAGGAAGCUAUGAUGGUGGUCACGGAGGCUAAGACUGUGUUAUGGUCAUAUGUACUAGGAACUUGGGAAAAAAGGUAGGGAGAAGAAGUUAUUCAGGCUGUCCAAGUUGAGAGAGAGAGGCCCAGUAUUUAGACCAAGUGAGAUGCAUCAAGGAUGAUAACAGUAGAGUAUUGAUAGAAGAUGCACGGUUUAAGAGGAGAUGGUAGACUUACUUUCAUAAACUUCUGACUAAGGAAGGGGAUCGAGAUAUUGUGCUAGGCGAAUUGGAGUAUUUCGAGAGUCACCAUAAAUCUGGGUACUGUAGGCGUAAUAAGGUUCAGGAGGUCGUGGGAGCAAUGUGUAAGAUGAAUAAGGGCAGUGCGACCAGGCAUGACGAGAUUCCAAUGGAAUUUUGGAAGUGCAUGGGGAGAGAAGGUUCGGAGUGGUUGACUAGGUUGUUUAAUGUUAUUUUAAAGGCGAAGAGGAUGCCGAAUGAAUGAAGGUAGAGUCCAGUGGUCCCAUUGUAUAAGAACAAAGGUGAUAUCCAGAGUUGUAACAAUUAUAGGGGCAUCAAAUUACUUAGACAUACCAUGAAAGUUUGGGAGAGGGUGGUUGAAGUUAGGGUGAGGAUGAUAGUGUCUAUAUCCGACAACCAAUUUGGGUUCAUGCCGGGUAGUUCUACUACAUAAGCUAUUCAUUUUUUUUAGAGGUUGGUGGAACUGUACAGAGAGAGGAAGAAGGAUCUGCACGUGGUCUUUAUUAACCUAGAGAAUGGCAAAGUUCAUAGAGAAGUUCUCUAGAGAUGCUUGGAGGCAAAAGGGGUGUCGGUUCCCUACACCCCUUUAUUGAUUAAGGAUAUGUAUGAUGGCGCUAAGACUCGGGUUAUGAUAGUUGGAGGCGACUCUGGCCAUUUUCCUGUUGUAAUGGGUUUACACUAAGGUUAUGUACUUAGUCCAUUCUUAUUCGCCCCUGGUGAUGGACGUGUUGACGCACCAUAUUAAAGGGGAGGGGCCGUGGUGUAUGGUAUUUAUCGAUGACAUAGUUCUGAUUGAUGAGUCGCAAGCCAGUGUUGAUGAGAGGCUGGAAGUUUGGAGACAAGCUCUUGAGUGUAAAGGAUUUAAGUUGAGCAGGACGAAGACGAAAUACCUUGAGUGUAAGUUCAACAUUGAGCCGAAGGAAGUGGGUGUGGAUGUGAGUCUUGAAUCAUAUACCAUCCUAAGUAGCGACAACUUCAAGUACCUUUGGUCGGUUAUCCAGAGUGACGGGAGAUUGACGAGGAUGUCACACACCGUAUUGGGGUAGGAUGGAUGAAGUGGAGGUUAGCAUCUGGAGUCCUAUAUGAAAAGAAAGUGCCACCGUUACUCAAAGCUAAAUUCUAUAAAGCGGUGAUUAUAUCGGCCAUGAUGUAUGUGGCUGAGUGUUGGCCUGUUAAGAACUCACAUAUCCAGAAGAUGAAAGCAGCAGAAAUGAGGAUGUUGAGAUGGAUGUGUGGGCACACCUGGAUGGAUAAUAUUAGGAAUGAUGAUAUUCGGGAGAAGGUGUACGUGGCUCACAUUGAUGACAAGGUGAUAAGAGUGCCACCGAUACUCAAAGGUAAGUUUUAUAAAGCGGUUAUUAGACCGGCCAUGAUGUUUGGGGCUGAGUGUUGGCCUAUUAAGAACACACAUAUCCAAAAGAUGAGAGUAGAAGAAAUGACAAUGUUGAGGUGGAUAUGCAGGCACACUAGGCUGGAUAAUAUUAGGAAUGAUUAUAUUCGGGAGAAGGUGUACGUGGCCCCCAUUGAUGACAAGAUGCGAGAAGCGAGACUUAGAUGUUUCAGACAUGUUUAAAGGAGAAGCGCACAUGUACCGUAAGGAGGUGUGAGCGGCUGGUUGUGGAGGGCAGAAGAGGUAGAGGGAGAUCGAAGAAUUAUUAGGGAGAGGUGAUUAGGCAGGAUAUGGUGAGACUUCAGAUUUCCGAGGACAUGACACUUGAUAGGAAUAUGUGGAGGUCGAGUAUUAGGGUUAUAAAUUAGGAGGUAGUCGAGUUUUGCCUUACUUAAUACCUCUAUUAGACUAUUCUGGUAGGAAUUUUGUCUAAUAUAGUUAUUGGAAAUAUUGUGUCUUACCAUUACAUUUUUCAGUGCAUGACAUAUUUACUACCUAUAACUUUUACUUUGCAUAUUUCUUCUGAAUUUAAUGUGGUUCAUAUUUUUCCUCUGAUUUAUUUGGUGAUGCUAAUAUUAUCUCCCUUUUGUCUUUCUGUUUUCUUGAGCCGAUGUUCUUUCAGAAACAACAUCGCUACUCCUUCGGGGUAGGGGUAAGGUCUGCGUACACACUACCCUCUCCAGACCCCACUAGUGAAAUUUUAUUAGGUUGUUAUUGUGUAUGUGAUUCAUAAUGUGAUGUUAGUCCAUUUGGGUUUAUUUUAAUUUAUCUUUCUCCACUUUCCGAGGUUUGUUUGGUAAUUAGCUAGCUUUGGUUCAUUAGUGCUUAGAUUUUGUGGUUCGGAAUGACAUUAAGGUGAUCUAGUGACGAUGAAUUGCUUAUCUUAAUUAAAUCUUAAGGUUUUCUUCAAAGAUUAAAUUGAUUGUCUGAUCGGGUCGUGGGAGGUGACACUAUACAUGUAAAGAAAUUAGACUUUUAAAUAUUUUCUUGCUUUUAAUUUAUUUUAUUUAUUUUAUCUCUUUUUUCGUUAGGAGCAUGCUUAGGCCAACCAUUCUCGAGUAGGCAAACCAUAGGUCGCUUCUUUUUAAUUUUGUCGAGGUAAAAGGUUGUUCCCUUUAGUCUAUAUACAGGGGAAUGCCCCGUAGAGUAUGUAUAUAUUAUUUUUAUCUGGGGUAUGCCCCAACGUAAAUUUAUCUCAAUUCGAAUAUUUUAAAAGUCAACUAGAUUAGGUAUGCAAUCGUGACUUUGACGAGACUCAGAGAAUGCCUAACACCUUUUUCCUGAGUCAAAUGAAUCCCCUUACCUGAAUCUUUGGUGUCGACUUAGUUUUGAAGUACAAAGUGUUUUAAAAGGAAAACAUCACUUAUAUAAACGGUGACCUGACAUAUUGAAACCAAACGUCUGGUGGCGACUGAAAAAUUCUUUUGAACACAAUUCUUUGUCACUUUCUAAUUGAAAACCCUUACAAUUGUUUUUUUAAUUUAUUUUAAAAGGGUAAGUGAGGUGUAAAAAAGGGAUGUGACAUAAACUACACAUCAUUGGUCUGAAGUUCGUAUUUCUAUUGCCAAACUUCACUAUACUAACGGUUAGUGAUAUGAAAUUUAGUCCGGUAUUUGUAUUCAAAAGGGGAGCUUUGACGUAACUGGUAAAGUUGCUGUCAUGUGACCAGGAAGCUAGUCAUGGGUUUGAGCUAUGAAAACAGCCUCUUGAAAAAAUGAUAAGGUUGUAUACAAUAAACCUUAAUGGUCCGACUUUUUUUUGAACUAAUACGUAAAGUGAGCUUAAUACAUCAGGCUACCAUUUUAUUUAUUUAUUUAUUUGUAUCCUGAAAAAGAAGUGAGUCUCUAAUGCUCAUAUCCGGAAGUGGUUAUAUUUGUACUAAUUUUUAAACCAUAGUUUUAACUAUGGGUGUUAAAUGGGUGGGAAGGGUUAGGUCGGGCCUCUAUUUUUUGGACUCAUACGGGUUACGAUCCGGGCCGAUUCUAGGUUGGUUCUUAGCGGGUUCGAGUUCAUCCGAGUAAAAAUUUAACUGCAAGGGUUACAGGUUGAGGGGGCCGGGUCUAGCCAGAUUUAGUGUAUUUUUAAAUGAAUUUUGUUUAACUAUUGUAAGUUAUAGUAAUACAAAGUAUUAACAUUAAGAAUACAAGGAAGAUGGGGAAAAAUUACACUUAUUGCAAGUGCUACAUUUAUUUCAUAAUUCAAAGUUUCAGACUUACAAAUUAAAAUGUUUACAUUUUUAACAACAAAUAAAUUCAAAGGUUUUGCAUUGCCCUUGCAAGUUCUUUAUAAUAAAUAUGAACUGAUUAACCUUCUUCUUGAGUGUUAAAUCCGAAUGGGUUACCAUGUGCUAAUAUAUCUCCAAGUUCUUCGUCUUCUGGGCUAUCAACAUCUUCAUGUCCUUUAUUUCUUCGUUCCGAUCUAAUCAAAUAUCUGAAACAUACUAAAACUUCCAAAGCGUUGCUUCACAAAGAGUGACGAGUGUCUCCAAGUUGUUGUCUUGCUUGGCUAAAUACACUCUCUGAUGCAACAGUAGAAAUUGACACAUUCAGCACGUCCCGAGCCAUGGCAAAAAGAACAGCAAAUUACUUUCCAUUCUCAUGCCACCAUCCUAACGGUGAAAAUUCCUUUGUGCGAGGCUCUUUUUUCUUCUGCAAGUAGAAUUCAAGUUCAUCAAUGUUCCUACUACUGAUAUGAGUGUUAGAAAAUAUAGAAAAAAUAUCAAAACUAUCAAAGCCUUCUUCAUCAUCCAUAAUAGCAGAAGUGGUACAGUGCAGAGUGGGAUUAACAUUGCCUACAACACGAGCAUCAUCAUCAAUUAUAUUUGCAUAAUAAUUAUAAAUUGUUGUAAAAUAAUCAUUUAGCUUGUUCAUAGAAAAAUUUGGAGUUUUAGUUGGUCCAAUCUCUAUAUAAGUAUAUAAAGCAUUCAUUAAUUGGUGACAAUCAGACAUCUUAAGAGAAAGAUUUAAAACAGCACCAAUUAAGUGUUCUAAAUCACUUCCCAAACCCCUAGAAAAUCAGACCAUCCAUCCCCACACGUCAUAAUUAUCAAACCAACUACGAAAAAUCUAAAAUAAGGAAAUGAGGUUCGAGAUCUCAAAACGGAGGUCGGAUCAUUACAAGUAUGAAUUGCAAAAACAUCUUGGUGAUUCACACAAUUAAUUGGUUCUUAGUGGGUAAACAAUUUUUUGUUGUUGCUUUAUAUAUGUAGAUCUUGACUUGUAACUUGUAAAACAUAAAUGGAGAUGCACAAUAAUAAUAAAACGGAAUGGCCAUAGUUAUUAUCAUCAUUAUUAUUGUUGUUACUUUAUGAUUCAUCUUAAUUAUUUCAUUAAGUAUUUGUUAUCUCUCAUCAGCACAAAUAUUAAUAUAAAUGAAUCACCCACCAUACUCAUGAAAGCAGAUUAAAUAUGAGGUAGAUUUUAAUAUAUCAGCUUUAGCAAAAGAUAAACAUCCAAGUUUUCAUAAUAGAGAAAACUCAAGGAAAGAAGAAUAAAAUUGAAAGGAAAAAAAAAAAAGCUUCUCCGUAGAUACAUAUAACAUCAAUUCACAGUUGUAGAAUAUCUUGAAACAGUCAAUAGGUAGUUAAGUAAACAACUAAAAAUUCUCAAAUUCCACUUUUUUAACGUGGCCUUGCAGCUUCUACAUUUCCUUCAGACUCAGCUGCUUUUAACUCCAACCAAAUUUCACGAACCCUUUUUUUUUUUUGUUAAUACAAAUCUCUACGAUUACUCAUAGAAGAUUGUGUUUUCCCCAUAUAAUGAAAGCUAUAAAUCAGGAUAACAUUGAAGCAAUUGGCUCAUACGAUUCUGAUCAUCAUCAGCUAAUGGAAGAUUAGGGAAAGAAUAAGAAGAAGAUGGUGCCUCAAUCAUAUCAAAAAAUUGGCAAUUACUCCCAUAACUAUUCUUGUCUUCUUCAUGAGUAGCCAUACUUGUUGAAAUGGUGGGGCUAUCAAGUUGUGGGAGUUCAACUAGUUGAUUUUCAAAUCCAAUUAUUUGGGUAGAGAUGAGAUCUUGAUGAUGGAGAGAUGGACUAAAAGGGAAUUGAUGAUUUAAGUUUGAUGUUUGGUUGAAUGGAUUAUAAUGCAUUGGACUUGGCAUUUCUGUAGGUGCUCUAUAACUUGUGUUGGUUACUCUGAUACAAUUAUAAGCAGAAGCAUUUUUCCAUGAUUCUAAACUUGGAUUGUUGUUUGGAGUUGGCUUCUUGAAUGCCCUGCAUACUACCCAUCCUUCUUCCUGUCAAUAUUAAAUUCCAGUUUGAUCAGCAAG